GACGAACGCUGGCGGCGUGCUUAACACAUGCAAGUCGAGCGGUAAGGCCCCUUCGGGGGUACACGAGCGGCGAACGGGUGAGUAACACGUGGGUGACCUGCCCUCAGCUCUGGGAUAAGCCUGGGAAACUGGGUCUAAUACCGGAUAUGACUCCAUGACGCAUGUCGUGGGGUGGAAAGCCUUGUGCGGCUGGGGAUGGGCCCGCGGCCUAUCAGCUUGUUGGUGGGGUGAUGGCCACCAAGGCGACGACGGGUAGCCGGCCUGAGAGGGCGACCGGCCACACUGGGACUGAGACACGGCCCAGACUCCUACGGGAGGCAGCAGUGGGGAAUCUUGCGCAAUGGGCGAAAGCCUGACGCAGCGACGCCGCGUGAGGGAUGACGGCCUGGU
rnacentral:rRNA from 1 species